GUGUCUUGUGGAGAGUUGUUUCAUUGGCAAUCAUACCACAUCUUCUUUUUUUUUUAUAUAAUCUAUAUGGAAUAGCUUUACUAAGAUAUCUUUUGUGGUUAUUUUUCAUAGUUUUUUGGGUGCUGUACGUAUCUUUGGUAUAAUACAUCUCCUUUUAUUUAAAUAUGUGAAUAAAUAAAAGUGUUACCUUUGAAAUAUUUACAUAUAAAUUAAAGAUUUUAAAGAAUUUCCUGAUUAAAUAUUUACAUUGUUGUCAUUCUUCUGACCAGUGACUUCUCCUAGGCAGACAAAUGUCAUCUUAUCAUUUAAUCAGAAC
rnacentral:lncRNA from 1 species